GUUUGUUUGGAGUUAUAAAGAAUUUAACCUGCCCCCUGAUUAACUAUUAAUUAAAGGGCCGCAGUAUUAUAACUGUGCAAAGGUAGCAUAAUCAUUAGGUUUUUAAUUGAAAUCUCGUAUGAAUGGUUGGACAAAAGAAAGACUCUCUUUAUAUUAAGUUUUGAAUUUAACUUUUAAGUGAAAAGGCUUAAAUAUUCUAAAGGGACGAUAAGACCCUAUAAAACUUUACAUUGUCAUUAAUUUUGAUUGAAUUUAUGAAAUAAAAAUUUUAUUUGAUUAUUUGUUAUGUUGGGGAGACAUAAGUAAAAUAUUUUUUUAACUGCUUGAUAGUUAUACAAUUAUUAGUGAAUAAGUAGAAGAUCCUUUUUAAGAUUAAUAGAUUAAGUUACUUUAGGGAUAACAGUGUAAUUUCUUUUGAGAGUUCUUAUCGAAAGAGAAGGUUGCAACCUCGAUGUUGAAUUAAAAUAUCUAUAUAAUGGAGAGGUUAUAUAAGAAGGUCUGUUCGACCUUGAAAAUUUUACAUGAUUUGAGUUCAAACCGGUGUGAG
rnacentral:rRNA from 1 species